rnacentral:rRNA from 1 species
CAAGUCGAGUGCGCGUCUGUAGCAAUACAGAUGGCGCACGGCGCACGGGUGCGUAACACGUGGGUAAUCUGCCCUUCGAGGGGGAAUAACUCGCCGAAAGGCGAGCUAAUUCCGCAUAACAUUCCGAGAACCUUGGUUUUUGGAUUCAAAGGCGUAAGUCGUCGGAGGAGGAGCCCGCGCACGAUUAGCUAGUUGGUAGGGUAACGGCCUACCAAGGCUAUGAUCGUUAGCUGGUCUGAGAGGAUGGCCACCCACACUGGAACUGAGACACGGUCCAGACUCCUACGGGAGGCAGCAGUGGGGAAUCUUGCCCCAUGGGCGAAAGCCUGAU